GAUGAACGCUGGCGGCGUGCCUAAUACAUGCAAGUCGAGCGAACAGACGAGGAGCUUGCUCCUUUGACGUUAGCGGCGGACGGGUGAGUAACACGUGGGUAACCUACCUAUAAGACUGGGAUAACUUCGGGAAACCGGAGCUAAUACCGGAUAAUAUUUCGAACCGCAUGGUUCGAUAGUGAAAGAUGGCUUUGCUAUCACUUCUAGAUGGACCUGCGCCGUAUUAGCUAGUUGGUAAGGUAACGGCUUACCAAGGCAACGAUACGUAGCCGACCUGAGAGGGUGAUCGGCCACACGGGAACUGAGACACGGUCCAGACUCCUACGGGAGGCAGCAGUAGGGAAUCUUCCGCAAUGGGGGAAAGCCUGACGGAGCAACGCCGCGUGAGUGAUGAAGGUCUUCGGAGCGUAAAACUCUGUUAUUAGGGAAGAACAAACGUGUAAGUAACUGUGCACGUCUUGACGGUACCUAAUCAGAAAGCCACGGCUAACUACGUG
rnacentral:rRNA from 1 species